rnacentral:rRNA from 1 species
CCUACGGGUGGCAGCAGUCGAGAAUCAUUCACAAUGGGGGAAACCCUGAUGGUGCGACGCCGCGUGGGGGAAUGAAGGUCUUCGGAUUGUAAACCCCUGUCAUGUGGGAGCAAAUUAAAAAGAUAGUACCACAAGAGGAAGAGACGGCUAACUCUGUGCCAGCAGCCGCGGUAAUACAGAGGGCUCAAGCGUUGUUCGGAAUCACUGGGCGUAAGGCGUGCGCAGGCUGUUUCGUAAGUCGCGUGUGAAAGGCGCGGGCUCAACCCGCGGACGGCAACUGAUACUGGGAGACUAGAGUAACGGAGGGGGAACCGGAAUUCCCGGUGUAGCAGUGAAAGGCGUAGAGAUCGAGAGGAACACUCGUGGCGAAGGCGGGUCCCUGGACAUUAACUGACGCUGAGGCACGAAGGCCAGGGGAGCGAAAGGGAUUAGAUACCCCGGUAGUC